UACGAAGGGGGCUAGCGUUGCUCGGAAUCACUGGGCGUAAAGGGUGCGUAGGCGGGUCUUUUAAGUCAGGGGGUGAAAUCCUGGAGCUCAACUCCAGAACUGCCUUUGAUACUGAAGAUCUUGAGUUCGGGAGAGGUGAGUGGAACUGCGAGUGUAGAGGUGAAAUUCGUAGAUAUUCGCAAGAACACCAGUGGCGAAGGCGGCUCACUGGCCCGGUACUGACGCUGAGGUGCGAAAGCGUGGGGAGCAAACAGG
rnacentral:rRNA from 1 species